rnacentral:rRNA from 1 species
AUACGUAGGGGGCGAGCGUUGUCCGGAAUGAUUGGGCGUAAAGGGCGCGUAGGCGGCCCGGUAAGUCUGGAGUGAAAGUCCUGUUUUUAAGAUGGGAAUUGCUUUGGAUACUGUCGGGCUUGAGUGCAGGAGAGGUAAGUGGAAUUCCCAGUGUAGCGGUGAAAUGCGUAGAGAUUGGGAGGAACACCAGUGGCGAAGGCGACUUACUGGACUGUAACUGACGCUGAGGCGCGAAAGUGUGGGGAGCAAACAGGAUUAGAUACCCUGGUAGUCAACACUGUAAACGAUGAAUGCUAGGUGUAGGGGGUAUCGACCCCUUCUGUGCCGCAGUCAACACAAUAAGCAUUCCGCCUGGGGAGUACGGCCGCAAGGUUGAAACUCAAAUGAAUUGACGGGG